rnacentral:rRNA from 1 species
GAUGAACGCUGACAGAAUGCUUAACACAUGCAAGUCAACUUGAACUUCGGUUUGGGUGGCGGACGGGUGAGUAACGCGUAAAGAACUUGCCUCACAGCUAGGGACAACAUUUGGAAACGAAUGCUAAUACCUGAUAUUAUGAUUUUAGGGCAUCCUAGAAUUAUGAAAGCUAUAUGCGCUGUGAGAGAGCUUUGCGUCCCAUUAGCUAGUUGGAGAGGUAACGGCUCACCAAGGCGAUGAUGGGUAGCCGGCCUGAGAGGGUGAACGGCCACAAGGGGACUGAGACACGGCCCUUACUCCUACGGGAGGCAGCAGUGGGGAAUAUUGGACAAUGGACCAAGAGUCUGAUCCAGCAAUUCUGUGUGCACGAUGAAGUUUUUCGGAAUGUAAAGUGCUUUCAGUUGGGAAGAAAAAAAUGACGAUACCAACAGAAGAAGUGACGGCUAAAUACGUG